GGAUAGUAGUAUAGGAAUAAGCAACGGCUAACUCCGUGCCAGCAGCCGCGGUAACACGGGGGUUGCGAGCGUUGUCCGGAAUUACUAGGCGUAAAGGGCAGGUAGGCGGAUCUACGAGUUUUUUGUUAAAGGCUACGGCUCAACUGUAGUAGAGCAGGAGAUACUGUAGGUCUGGAAUGCGGUAGGGGAAGACAGAAUUCCUGGUGUAGCGGUGGAAUGCGCAGAGAUCAGGAGGAAUACCGAAGGCGAAGGCAGUCUUCUAGGCCGUAAUUGACGCUUAACUGCGAAGGUGUGGGGAUCAAACAGGAUUAGAUACCCUGGUAGUCCACACAGUAAACGAUAAUCACUAGAUGUCGGGUUCUAUAUGGAUUCGGUGUCGGAGCAAACGCGAUAAGUGAUUCGCCUGGGGAGUACGAUCGCAAGGUUGAAACUCAAAGGAAUUGACGGGGGCCCGCACAAGCGGUGGAGCAUGUGGUUUAAUUCGAGGCAACGCGAAGAACCUUACCCGGUUUUGACAUCCACGGGAGGCUUCAGAGAUGGAGCUGUGCCGGCGUAAGCUGGAGCCGUGAGACAGGUGCUGCAUGGCUGUCGUCAGCUCGUGUCGUGAGAUGUUGGGUUAAGUCCCGCAACGAGCGCAACCCUUGCCUUCAGUUACCAUCAUUAAGUUGGGGACUCUGGAGGGACCGCUGCGGUAACAACGCAGAGGAAGAUGGGGACGACGUCAAGUCAUCAUGGUCCUUAUGGCCGGGGCUACACACGUGCUACAAUGGCAGUUACAGAGGGAAGCGAUUCAGUAAUGAGGAGCGAAACUCAGAAAAGCUGCCGCAGUUCGGAUUGAGGUCUGCAACUCGGCCUCAUGAAGUCGGAAUCGCUAGUAAUCGCGCAACAUCAUGGCGCGGUGAAUACGUUCCCGGGCCUUGUACACACCGCCCGUCAAGUCAGCCGAGUGGAGUGCACCCGAAGGAGGUGAGCUAACCCGCAAGGGAGGCAGCUUUCGAAGGUGUGCUUCGCGAGGAGGACUAAGUCGUAACAAGGUAGCCGUACCGGAAGGUGUGGCUGGAUC
rnacentral:rRNA from 1 species